rnacentral:rRNA from 1 species
AUUGAACGCUGGCGGCAUGCUUUACACAUGCAAGUCGAACGGUAACGCGGGGCAACCUGGCGACGAGUGGCGAACGGGUGAGUAAUGCAUCGGAACGUGCCCAGUAGUGGGGGAUAGCCCGGCGAAAGCCGGAUUAAUACCGCAUACGACCUAUGGGUGAAAGCGGGGGACCGUAAGGCCUCGCGCUAUUGGAGCGGCCGAUGUCAGAUUAGGUUGUUGGUGGGGUAAAGGCCUACCAAGCCGACGAUCUGUAGCUGGUCUGAGAGGACGACCAGCCACACUGGGACUGAGACACGGCCCAGACUCCUACGGGAGGCAGCAGUGGGGAAUUUUGGACAAUGGGGGCAACCCUGAUCCAGCCAUGCCGCGUGCGGGAAGAAGGCCUUCGGGUUGUAAACCGCUUUUGUCAGGGAAGAAACGCUCUGGGUUAAUACCUCGGGGUAAUGACGGUACCUGAAGAAUAAGCACCGGCUAACUACGUGCCAGCCGCCGCAGUAAAAC